AACUUAUCCAGAAAGACUGAGGGAAUGGGCCCUUUGAAGUCUUAGCAACCCUUCCAAUGCAUUUGCAAAAGGAAACGGUGCUAACUCCCAUUUCGAGAUUUACGCUCGGAAGAAGAUAAGAA
rnacentral:ncRNA from 2 species